rnacentral:rRNA from 1 species
GACGAACGCUGGCGGCGUGCCUAAUACAUGCAAGUCGAACGCUUCUUUUUCCACCGGAGCUUGCUCCACCGGAAAAAGAGGAGUGGCGAACGGGUGAGUAACACGUGGGUAACCUGCCCAUCAGAAGGGGAUAACACUUGGAAACAGGUGCUAAUACCGUAUAACAAUCGAAACCGCAUGGUUUUGAUUUGAAAGGCGCUUUUCGGGGUGUUCGGCCGUAGUAGUAGGUAGGUACCCGGGACCCGGUCGGGUCGACUUAAGUUACGUACGUUUAGGGUUGGGUAGGGUAAACGGGGUAACCGGUCCUACCCAAACCGGAAC